rnacentral:rRNA from 1 species
GCCCCACUAGUCUGGGAUACCACUUGGAAACAGGUGCUAAUACCGGAUAAGAAAGCGGAUCGCAUGAUCAGCUUUUAAAAGGCGGCGUAAGCUGUCGCUAUGGGAUGGCCCCGCGGUGCAUUAGCUAGUUGGUAAGGUAAAGGCUUACCAAGGCGAUGAUGCAUAGCCGAGUUGAGAGACUGAUCGGCCACAUUGGGACUGAGACACGGCCCAAACUCCUACGGGAGGCAGCAGCG